GGAUAUUUCACUAGGGGAGGGGGGAUAUUUGACUAGGGGAGGGGUGAUAUUUGACUAGGGGAGGGGGGAUAUUUGACUAGGGGACGGGGUGAUAUUUGACUAGGGGUGGGGUGAUAUUUGACUAGGGGAGGGGGGAUAUUUGACUAGGGGAGGGGUGAUAUUUGACUAGGGGAGGGGGAUAUUUGACUAGGGGAGGGGUGAUAUUUCACUAGGGGAGGGGGGAUAUUUGACUAGGGGAGGGGUGAUAUUUGACUAGGGGAGGGGUGAUAUUUGACUAGGGGAGGGGUGAUAUUUGACUAGGGGAGGGGUGAUAUUUGACUAGGGGAGGGGUGAUAUUUGACUAGGGGAGGGGGGAUAUUUGACUAGUGCAGGUUGAUAUUUGACUAGGGGAGGGGGGAUAUUUGACUAGGGGAGGGGGGAUAUUUGACUAGGGGAGGGGGGAUAUUUGACUAGGGGAGGGGUGAUAUUUGACUAGGGGAGGGUGAUAUUUGACUAGGGGAGGGGUGAUAUUUGACUAGGGGUGGGGUGAUAUUUGACUAGGGGACGGGGUGAUAUUUGACUAGGGGAGGGGGGAUAUUUGACUAGGGGAGGGGGGAUAUUUGACUAGGGGAGGGGUGAUAUUUGACUAGGGGAGGGGUGAUAUUUGACUAGGGGAGGGGAGAUAUUUUACUAGGGGUGGGGUGAUAUUUGACUAGGGGACGGGGUGAUAUUUGACUAGGGGAGGGGGAUAUUUGACUAGGGGAGGGGUGAUAUUUGACUAGGGGAGGGGUGAUAUUUGACUAGGGGAGGGGUGAUAUUUGACUAGGGGAGGGGGGAUAUUUGACUAGUGCAGGUUGAUAUUUGACUAGGGGAGGGGUGAUAUUUGACUAGGGGAGGGGGAUAUUUGACUAGGGGAGGGGGAUAUUUGACUAGGGGAGGUGUGAUAUUUGACUAGGGGAGGGGUGAUAUUUGACUAGGGGUGGGGUGAUAUUUGACUAGGGGACGGGGUGAUAUUUGACUAG
rnacentral:lncRNA from 1 species